rnacentral:rRNA from 1 species
GCGUGAGCGAUGAAGGCCUUAGGGUUGUAAAGCUCUUUCAGCGGGGACGAUAAUGACGGUACCCGCAGAAGAAGCCCCGGCUAACUCCGUGCCAGCAGCCGCGGUAAUACGGAGGGGGCUAGCGUUGUUCGGAAUUACUGGGCGUAAAGCGCACGUAGGCGGACCGAUCAGUCGGGGGUGAAAUCCCGGGGCUCAACCCCGGAACUGCCUUCGAUACUGUCGGUCUGGAGGAUGAGAGAGGCGAGUGGAAUUCCGAGUGUAGAGGUGAAAUUCGU